rnacentral:rRNA from 1 species
AACGAACGCUGGCGGCAUGCCUAACACAUGCAAGUCGAACGAAGCUUCGGGCUUAGUGGCGCACGGGUGCGUAACGCGUGGGAAUCUGCCCUUGGGUUCGGAAUAACAGUUAGAAAUGACUGCUAAUACCGGAUGAUGUCUUCGGACCAAAGAUUUAUCGCCCAAGGAUGAGCCCGCGUAGGAUUAGGUAGUUGGUGGGGUAAUGGCCCACCAAGCCGACGAUCCUUAGCUGGUCUGAGAGGAUGAUCAGCCACACUGGGACUGAGACACGGCCCAGACUCCUACGGGAGGCAGCAGUGGGGAAUAUUGGACAAUGGGCGAAAGCCUGAUCCAGCAAUGCCGCGUGAGUGAUGAAGUCCUUAGGGUUGUAAAGCUCUUUUACCAGGGAUGAUAAUGACAGUACCUGGAGAAUAAGCUCCGGCUAACUCCGUGCCAGCCGCCGCCGUAACAC